GCCACCGCCGACAGUUGCGAUCGACGAGAUCUAAAGAUAGAUCGAUCGAGAUACGCGACUAUAAUUGAAGACGAUACAAACUCUGUGAUUCGAAGUUAUCUUGCAACAAAAUUGCUGCUGUAUAUUAAUGCGACAAUCAUUUUUUGGAAUUGCACUUCUUGGAUUUCUCGAGCGUUUUGGAAAAACUUCCCUUACAAAAGGAAGAAGAAUUGGAAGAAUGGAAACUCUGGAACACUCACCACGCCCACAGCUUCUAACGCGAACAACGUUGUACCAAAAUAAAGGGCGAAGUUCCUCAAGGUACCAAACAUCUCCCUCUCGCUAGGAGAUGGAAGGUCCUCGAACAUGUAGACUAGGAUCAUGGCAAGGCCGACGAAUGUGAUCGCGUUCGCCAGGGUGGAGAACGGCGCCAGUAGCUUCAGAUUCCUUACGUAAUUGAUUAAAAUCAACGGUAGCAAUAAAAUGAGCAUGUGCGUUUUAACAUCCAACGGUUCCCAGUACUCGUCUGCCACCUGCAUUUAGCAACAGAAAAAUGGACAAUGUUUAAGUAUAUACAUCCGAAUGAUCCGUUUUGUGAUAGAGUUGUUUCAUUUUCUUUUUCUUUUAAUCUUUUUUUUAUCAUUACAUUAUUUUGUUUUGAUUUGGCACUUUUUCCUCUGCUUUUUGGGGUGACGAAGAGGGUUGGUAUCUCUACACCUGUUAUUUACCUGCUUUAUAUUCGACGCUACAAAUACGAUAUAAACGCAGCAUAUUCCCAAUUGAUACGCUAUCAUGAACCCGUCUACGAGUCCUCUGGAAAUAAUAGCAACUUUCAUGUUACAAUUGAAGGAGAACUAUGACGCCGCUGUGUGAUUGAUGAUUGUGCGUGCGUGUAUGAGAGACAGAGAUAUAGACAAAUGGAUAGAGGCAGAGAGAGAGAGAGAGAGAAAGAGAGAGAGAGAGAGUGGGAGGAGAGUCGAUUUUCUGAUGUGAAAUAGAUUGUUCGAAGUUAGUCUAUCAUUAGCGAUCUCUGAUCCGAGUGAAAUGAUUGCUCUGGCAAUUUUCCAAUUCUGACCAAAAUUUGUCUACUCAUAUAUGUAAUGUUUGAAAUUAUGCAAAGUUAUUUUUAUCUGUCAUUUGUAAUACCAAAUAUUGUUCCUUCUACACGAGAAGACUAUGAACCCACUUGUUUGUCUUUGGUAGAAGCUGAAAAUAGAAACCAAGGCAUACAGGACGUAAGUAGAAUCGAUCAAUCAUAACCAGACUAUAUCCGUUUCAAGAAAAUUACGCUAAAACUUCACGAAGCUACGUAAACUAAUCUAGGUCGAAUGUUUCAGUAAAAUCGAAUCUGUUUGACACACAGGUAGACUGCUAUGCAAAUUAAGAGGGCGAUACAUCUCGAAAAAUCAAUUAGACGACACGCUGAUCUAUCUACAAGAACUGAAAAUAUUGAUUAUGUCAAUUUCUACAUUAUUCUUGCUUCUUGUGAUUGAUCUAUCAAUUAAUUUUGUAUUCUAACAUUAUUUAGUAGUUCCUUUUUAUUAUUAUUAUGUAGAAGUUCCAAUGACUAGACUGCGGACGUUUAUGAAAACAUUGUAAUUUGUAAUAGCAAUUACUCAAUUCGACAUCUAAUCGUAUAAAACAUGAUUGUGUCUACUAAUAGAAAGGCUCAGAGAAUUUUCAAUUAUCAUUGCCUUGCACAAACAUAAAAUCCGCAGAUGUUUACCCAACAGGUGACUUUAUGCAAAACAGAAACUGCUUGUAUUAAUUGCAAGUUAACUGAGCUGUAUAGACAUUCAUUUCAUUUUUUGAUAGUUGUGACUAGUUGAAAUUAAUACAGAAUCAUUCUUAAAUUCCUAGAAUGUCUCCGCUGCGUUUGAUCUACUGAUUUUCGUCAUAAAAUCCGCAGUCGAUUAGGUUACAGUUCAAGCAAUGAUAAGCAAGAAGAAGACGAAUGUUCUGUGCGUGUCUAUGUGGCCGUGUCGAGUGCUCUUACUUACGGUGCGUAAGGUGCGAACCAUCGGACACACUCCGGCCCUUCCUGCAAAGCGUACUUCAUGCUCAUCGGGUAACUCAAUAUAGGAACUCUUAACCGUUUACACAGUUUGUACUGAGCCUUCACCAAUACGUGAAGGCAAUAAGUGCAUAACACUCCGAUAAUCACUGUCGCUAUCACACCAGUCACCAGUCCACUGUUGCAGAACGCGUUCGGCAUCGCCAAGAUCCCUGUACCGAGACUCCCUUUCAACAAGUGGAUCAACGUUUCCGCAUUUCUGAAAGCAACCAAUCAUUCGCAUCAAUGAUCGUCAUUAAUUUCGUCGAUAAUGCUUCAGUAUACAAAGGAGAAACAGAAUAAGAAUUUCGAUUACUCACGAGGUUGGAUUCGGCCUAUUUCGAUGCUUAUGGGGGUCAUAGUCUUCUGCGUCUGCAGCCGGCGAUAUUGGGACUUCCGACGCGUUCAGGCCACUUCCGGCGAUUUCAUUGUUAACCCUGCAAUCGCAUCAAUUUGCAAAUGUAAUCGGUAUUUCCGAGUUUUGUCAGUGGAACUCGGGAUAGCCCAUGUGUGUAUAUGCGUGCGUGUGUAUACUUAGCGAGCAGCAAUUUGUAAAUAUAUGAUAAUGCCAUAA